GCGGAAGUGGUGGAACUGGCAGACACACCAUCUUGAGGGGGUGGCGGCGCAAGCCAUGCGGGUUCAAGUCCCGCCUUCCGCACAA
rnacentral:tRNA from 1 species